UACGUAGGGUGCAAGCGUUGUCCGGAAUUAUUGGGCGUAAAGAGCUCGUAGGCGGUCUGUCGCGUCGGCUGUGAAAACUCGGGGCUCAACCCCGAGCCUGCAGUCGAUACGGGCAGACUAGAGUGCUGUAGGGGAGACUGGAAUUCCUGGUGUAGCGGUGAAAUGCGCAGAUAUCUGGAGGAAUACCGGUGGCGAAGGCGGCAUCCUGGACCGGCAUUGACGCUGAUGAGCGAAAGCUAGGGGAGCAAACGGG
rnacentral:rRNA from 1 species